rnacentral:rRNA from 1 species
GAUCCUGGCUCAGGAUGAACGCUAGCUACAGGCUUAACACAUGCAAGUCGAGGGGCAGCAUUUUAGUUUGCUUGCAAACUAAAGAUUGGCGACCGGCGCACGGGUGAGUACACGUAUCCAACCUGCCGAUAACUCAGGGGUAGCCUUUCGAAGAAAGAUUAAUACCUGAUGGCAUAGGAUUAUCGCAUGAUAAUCCUAUUAAAGAAAUUUCGGUUAUCGAUGGGGAUGCGUUCCAUUAGG